rnacentral:rRNA from 1 species
AACGCGAAGAACCUUACCUGGGCUCGAAAUGCAGAGGGAGAUAUCAGAAAUGAUAUCGUCCGCAAGGACUUCUGUAUAGGUGCUGCAUGGCUGUCGUCAGCUCGUGCCGUGAGGUGUUGGGUUAAGUCCCGCAACGAGCGCAACCCUUAUCAUUAGUUGCCAACACGUAAGGUGGGGACUCUAAUGAGACUGCCUGGGUUAACCAGGAGGAAGGCGAGGAUGACGUCAAGUCCGCAUGGCCUUUAUGUCCAGGGCUACACACGUACUACAAUGGUCGGUACAGAGGGCUGCAAGACCGUAAGGUGGAGCAAAUCCCAGAAAGCCGAUCUCAGUUCAGAUUGUGGUCUGCAACUCGACCACAUGAAGUCGGAAUUGCUAGUAAUGGCGGGUCAGCAACACCGCCGUGAAUACGUUCCCGGGCCUUGUA